rnacentral:rRNA from 1 species
CUCCUACGGGAGGCAGCAGUGGGGAAUAUUGGACAAUGGGUGCAAGCCUGAUCCAGCCAUGCCGUGUGUGUGAAGAAGGCCUUCGGGUUGUAAAGCACUUUUAUCAGGAACGAAAUCAGCAAGGUUAAUACCUUGGCAGUCUGACGGUACCUGAGGAAUAAGCACCGGCUAACUUCGUGCCAGCAGCCGCGGUAAUACGGAGGGUGCAAGCGUUAAUCGGAAUUACUGGGCGUAAAGCGUGCGUAGGCGGUUGGUUAAGUCUGAUGUGAAAGCCCCGGGCUCAACCUGGGAAUGGCAGUGGAUACUGGCUAGCUAGAGUGUGAAAGAGGAGGGAGCAAAGCCCGGGGAAGCGGUGAAAUGAGUAGAGAUCGGGAGGAACAUCAGUGGCGAAGG